CAAACUUGAAGCUAUAAUUUCGGAUAUUGCAAGUCACAGACUUUUCAAGCCAGUCCGCAUUGGAAAAGAUGAAAAAGAGAAAAGAUCUUUCCUUAAUUUUUCCUUUGCCAACAAAGGUCUCGAUGGCGUCAACUAAGGCAAUAUCCUUCAUCAUAAAUUAGUUCAAUCGAAAAUACCUCCUUAUUUCAAAGACCAGUCUGUACC
rnacentral:lncRNA from 1 species